GACGUAGGGCGCGAGCGUUGUCCGGAUUUAUUGGGCGUAAAGAGCUCGUAGGCGGCUUGUCGCGUCGUCCGUGAAAACCUGCAGCUCAACUGCAGGCUUGCGGUCGAUACGGGCAGGCUGGAGUUCGGUAGGGGAGACUGGAAUUCCUGGUGUAGCGGUGGAAAUGACGCAGAUAUCAGGAGGAACACCGGUGGCGAAGGCGGGUCUCUGGGCCGAUACUGACGCUGAGGAGCGAAAGCGUGGGGAGCGAACAGG
rnacentral:rRNA from 1 species